rnacentral:rRNA from 1 species
UACGUAGGGACCGAGCGUUGUCCGGAAUCAUUGGGCGUAAAGAGCGUGUAGGCGGCCACUUAAGUCCUGCGUGAAAUCUUGCGGCUCAACCGCAAGCGGUCGUGGGAAACUGGGUGGCUAGAGUGCGGGAGAGGAGAGUGGAAUUCCUGGUGUAGCGGUGGAAUGCGCAGAUAUCAGGAGGAACACCGGUGGCGAAGGCGCCACUCUGGGCCGGUACUGACGCUGAGGAGCGAAAGCGUGGGUAGCAAACAGG